rnacentral:rRNA from 1 species
UACGGGGGGAGCAAGCGUUGUUCGGAUUUACUGGGCGUAAAGAGUUCGUAGGCGGUUUGUCGCGUCGUUUGUGAAAACUCACAGCUCAACUGUGAGCCUGCAGGCGAUACGGGCAGACUUGAGUACUGCAGGGGAGACUGGAAUUCCUGGUGUAGCGGUGAAAUGCGCAGAUAUCAGGAGGAACACCGGUGGCGAAGGCGGGUCUCUGGGCAGUAACUGACGCUGAGGAACGAAAGCGUGGGUAGCAACCAGG